UGGUGGCGUACACCUGUAGUCCCAGCUAUUCAAGAGGCUGAGGACUCACCCAUUUUUUGUUAAAGAAUAACUAGAUAAUCUAGCCUCUGAGGGGGUGACAGCUGGACUCAACUGAUGAGAAGAAGUGAACCAAGCAAAGACUUGAGGGAAGUCAACUCCAGGCACAGCAAAGGAUGAGUGCAAAGGCUAUGAGCUUGAUGCAAAAGACCACAGUGACCUUAGCAGAUGUGUGAAGACAGCAGAGCCACAAGACUGAAAGAACCGCGAUUACUGAAUCACAUCAUGAAAACCCACCCUCUGACAGAAACAACUGGUUUGUGAUGGACAUCUGUUUGCCUUAUCUCACAUAGGGGAGGAGGGGAAGAAUUUAAUCUUGGAUUAGCCCUUUGUGGUUUUGCAUACCCCCUUCUCUGAUCCUCCUUAGAGGUGAAUAAAGUAGUGGAAUGGUCCCCAUUUUACAGCUGUGUUAGGCAAAGUUCAGAGAAGUUAAUGGCUAGGGAGGGGGAGCACAGGCCACAGUCUAGCCAAAGCCAGCCUCAAAUAUAGAUCUCCUGAUUCCCAGAGCCUAUUACUUCUUCCACUGUGCUAUACCCUGAAUGCUGAAGAUUCCUCCUUAAACUGAACAUGUCAGCAGCUAAUCUUUGAGCUAUUAAAUAAAUUACAAAAAGAUGAUAUAAAAGGCAAUCCUUCCUUGAGACAACUGUACCAUCCCAUUUAUCUCUUCAUGCCCAGGACUUGGGCAAGAACUUGGUACCGAGAAGGGCCUUCAUAACUGUAUGUUAUGAUUUUUAAAAAAAGUCUUACCAAGAAACAAAAAUUCAAGUUUAUAUCACAUUGACAACUAAAGACCAGCAAAACAGAUGUCGUGUACUGCUUCCACAUGUAGACCAACCAGAAUAAGACUCCAAUUCCAUCAAAUGUAAUUUAUUUAAAUAACAAUUCAAUUGCAUGUUAAGUAAACCAGUUGUAGCAAUAUAAAAAUACAGAAUUUUGAGAAAAUCUGGCAAAUUAAACCUGUAUCUAAAUGCAGCAUAUUCUGUGAUACUACGGAAUGAAAAAUAAAAUGUGUUGACUUUCAAGUCAGGAUGAUUUAUUUGCACUUAAAAAUAUAAUUUCUAAGAUGACAUCUGUUUUCAAAAACAUCCUAAUGGUAAAAACAGGCUACAGGAAUUGUUGUCAUCAUGUUGAAAUUUUAGAUUUUAUAUUAGCAUUAGCUUAAAAAUCAUAGACAAUAACAUUAACACAAAAUCAGCAAGAGAACACUCAUUGGGAACAGUUUUUAUGUUAAAAAUAUCAGAGGUUCACAGUUUUCUUCUUUUUUCUUGACUUACAUUGAUAAAAUGCUUUGAUAGCUACAAUCAAUUUCACCUUCUAGUACCAGAUCCAAUGCCUCCUUGAUCAGCAGAUGGAUGUUACUAACACAUUCAUUUUAUAUAGAACUCACACAUAUUCAGUUUCUAAAAAUGUUUUGCUCUGCAAAACUGUGACUGCUGAGAGUGGGAAAGAUUGGAGACUAAAAUGUAAUGAGAAGAGAAAAAGAUAAAAUGCUGACAAUUUUUACUAACAGAACAUUAAAUUAUAAAGUACAUACAGGUAGCUUUUAUGAUUCAACAAGAAACUUCACAUUAGUUUACAAAGUGCUAUGGACUCUAAUUUUAUUUUUGUUUAAUCCAAACAAAAGUGAAAACCACACAUUAUCAAAGAAUUCUGAACUCCUUCUACAUGUCAAGUUAACAGAGGUUUUGAGGUGGGCAGACCACAAGACAGGUUUAUUUUGUAUGUUUUAAGGCAAAGCAAAAUCUCCCAAAUGAAACAUCUACAAAAUACAUUUGCUUUGAGAAUAAAUUUCAGUAAUAAAAAAAUACUUCUCAUUUAUUAAAUAUACAUAUUUGCCUUUACAUUUGAUUUAGCAAUGUGAAUCAAAAAAUGCAAGUGUUCUGUGAACAUCUGCAAAUCAAUAUUUUUAAACACCAAUACAGAAAUGAGUCAGUUUUCAUUCAGGUGUUUGGAUGUUAACAGUCAGCAAAAGAAAAAAAAAAAUAGACUACUUAUGGAAUUUUCCCUAACACAAUAUGAGAAUGCAACAUAUUUUUGAGAAUUAAGUAAUUUUUCUGGACCAUACAUAUCAGUGAAACACAUAUGUUCUCCUUCUGCAAAUAUUAAUUAAAGAGAACCCAACAGUGCUUAAACCAUUAAAUUUAACCAACAGCCUAAGAUUUAAAAUGUUUACCAUAAUCUCUGUUUAUGUAAAUUAUUUUCUUAAAGAAAAAACAAAACACUCUAUAGAACAUAACUGUCUACUUUGAAGAAUAAAUCACUUUGGGGAAAAAAUGUGAAUAAAAGCUGAACUCGGCCAGGCAUGAUGGCUCACGCCUGUAAUCCCAGCACUUUG
rnacentral:lncRNA from 1 species